rnacentral:lncRNA from 1 species
GGCUUAGUUUAUUUAUAGAAGUAUUAUGUACAUAAAGUAUGACAGACAUGAACAAAUGACAUCGACUGCAUUACAGGCUCCCGACUCUGGAAAGGCACGUUAAAAUGUUAUGAGGUUAUCUUUCAAAAAGAUGAAAUAAACCUUAUUGACCCUAGUCAGAAGUCAGAACGGCAGUGCAGGACAUCUACCCUCCACAUGCGACAUCUAUCAGUUAUUAAUGCUUGUAAAGUUCCAGUAAACAGUCACUUCCAGCAAUGUAACGAUCCACGAAAAGUGAACGGAUUUUGGGUAACAAUAGGUGGAAUAUAUUAGUGGUCACCAGCAUUACAACUAUUCCAUUAUAGACAUUACAAAAAGAUGGCAUCAGUAAAACUUAAGAAUGGAUUACUAGUAAUUCAAUUUUGAUACUAGCCACCUCUGAUGCAGUAGCUUCAUUGUAAGCAGUAACCCUCUAUCAACGAAUCAUCAUGAUAUGAAACACAAGCCUAGAAUAUUG